CGGAGGCAGCAGUGGGGAAUUUUGCGCAAUGGACGGAAGUCUGACGCAGCAACGCCGCGUGAGGGAUGAAGGUCUUCGGAUUGUAAACCUCUGUUGAUUGGGAAGAAUAACGUCGCGGACAAUAACCGCGAGGGAUGACGGUACCAGUCGAGGAAGCCCCGGCUAACUACGUGCCAGCAGCCGCGGUAAUACGUAGGGGGCAAGCGUUGUUCGGAAUUACUGGGCGUAAAGGGAGCGUAGGCGGGUUCAUAAGUUAGGAGUGAAAUCCAUAGGCUUAACCUGUGGGUUGCUUUUAAUACUGUGAAUCUUGAGUAUUGGAGAGGAUGAUGGAAUUCCAGGUGUAGCGGUGGAAUGCGUAGAUAUCUGGAAGAACACCAGUUGCGUAGGCGGUCAUCUGGCCAAAUACUGACGCUGAGGCUCGAAAGCUAGGGGAGCAAACAGGAUUAGAUACCCCGGU
rnacentral:rRNA from 1 species